UAUUAGACACGUUAUCUAUAGUCCAGACUUAACUUCCUGCAUGCAAAUGUCUGAGGCUGCAAAAUGAGCCUUUCCUGUUGGGCCUGUGUGAGCAGUAGGGCUACACCCACAUGUGCAUGGUUUAUGUUUAUCAGUUUACAAAUGCAGGAAGAAGAAAGGCUCAUGUAGAAGUUUUACAACCGAUAACCAAAUGAUGUGAGCUGCUAGGCCUGUGAAAGCUUGCAAAGCUGUGUGAAAGGAGGAACACUCUGGAUGGGAGCUAAAGGACAGCACACUACUGGGAGCUAGUUUGAACAUUAUUUCUGUUGCAUUAUGUUGUUGAAGGGUGUGCUUGUGGGAAAGCAGCACGCUCAGCAGGUUUGAACAGAUCUUCUUAAAUCUUCUCAGACAGCUUUUUCUUUUUUUUCAUUGCUUUUUUUCUUUUGACAACAUAAUUGCAAACUGUGUGAUGUGCUAUAUGAGCUAAUCCCCAACUGGAAAUGAGGAAAACAUGGUUUAGGACAUUGCUGCUGAACUUUUUAUGUUUUUAUACAUGUCAAGCUAAAACAUGUGUAGUUGGAAUGUUGGGGGAAUCUGUCUCUAUUCCCUGUCUUUAUAAUGGACCAGAGGAUUUGAGCUCUUUAAACAUUUCAUUUGAAUGGAAAAGAGGCUCUGAGGUGGUCUACAAAGCUGUGUGGAGAGGGGGACAUGAGGAAAGACUCGAAGUGGACUUCAAUGGCAGGAGCACAGUGUCCUCUCUGGCACAAACUGGAAAUUUCACGUUGAAGUUAAGUGACAUCCGUUUUCCAGAUGCCCAGAAUUACAGUCUAUAUUUAAAGCGUCUGGACCGUGGAGCUAAUGCUUCAAUAUGCACUGUCUGCCUGAGUGUUGCAGACGUCCCCCUGAGCACUACUGAGAAACUGCACUGACUUUGGACUUGAUAGUGGACCAACACCUCUGUGUUUUAUCAUGUCCAAAGUCAAUGUCAUGCUGAAAACUUUUAUGGAGAUGGGGAUUUCAUUUUCCAGCAGGACUUGGCACACUACCCACACUACCAAGAGUACUAAUUGUUCUUAUGUAAUAUGUUUUCUGAGACACUGUAUUUUGGGGUUUUAUUGGCUGUAAGCCAUAAUAAUCAGCAAUAAAUAAAAUAAAUGCUUAAAAUAGAUCACUCUGUAUGUACAUCUAUAUAUGAGUUUUAUAUUUUGAACUGAAUAAUUCAAACAAAAUAACUUUUCAAUGAUAUUCUAAUUGUUUUUUAAAUGCACUAGUGUAUAGUAUACUUGUCUAUGUUCUUUACCAGUGCUCAGAACUAUUGAGUUAAAACAGUGUUUCAAGGGGGUUAGGAGAACAGUCACUUCCAAUGUUUCAAAGCAUUAGUUUAACAGCAUUGUCAUUUUUAAAUUCUUUCCCAGCUCAUUUUACUCCACCUGUGUUGAUGAGAACGGGUGGGAAAGAGGGAGAAGCAACUCGAUUGGUUUGCCAGUCUCAGGGCGGUUUUCCUGAACCUGCAGUUCACUGGUAUAUCAACCACACUCAGCAUCCCCCAGCGGACACAGUCAGUACACAUACAAGCACUCUUCCCCAUUCUAAACUCUACAACGUCACCAGCAUCCUUUAUACUGCCAUUCCACGAGACACCACCGUAUCCUGUGCCAUAGAAAACCACCUGCUGAAUGAAACUCUGACCACAAUCAGCUAUGACGUUGGGUCCAUUCACUCACAUGGAUUCGUAUGGAUUCUCAGCGUCAUUCUUUGUGUGAUAGUGACUGUGCUGGUCUUAAUAGCUCUGUGUUACCAGAAGAAAUGGGACAGAGACAGAAGAAGAGAACGUGAAGAUGAUUCAGUCUGUGAGGAAACAGAAAUGAUCAUGCUGGACAUGGACGCCAUGGACGGGCAACUUAACAUAGACUAAUCUGGUAUAUGAUAACCAGCUCUCAGCUGUCAGCUGUUGAAAGUGUUGUCCUGGUACUUAAUAUUGUCACACUGGAUUAGCAAAGUGAUGAAUCGACUUUACAUAACAUAGUUUCUUGUUCCUUUUUUCAGACAUGAUGACUGGCCACACACCACUACUGCACUGCUGGACUGUAUUCAUUAACUCAACAAAUAUAAUAUUAAAGCAUAUUGUGACUGUCUCACAAAAAACACCACAAAAUAGCUACUUCCUUUCCAGGAAAAUGGGACAAAAGCACUUUGGAGCACUUCAAUUUGUCCAUUUAUCAUAAUAUUUGAAUCUGGCAGAAUCAGUUUAAGUUAAAAAUUACAAAAACUGUAUUAAGUGAGAGAAAAAUAAAUUUUAGUAC